AUACGUAGGGAGCGAGCGUUAUCCGGAUUUACUGGGCGUAAAGGGCGUGUAGGCGGUCUUGCAAGUCAGAAGUGAAAUUCCUGAGCUCAACUCGGGCGCUGCUUCUGAAACUGCAGGACUUGAGUGCUGGAGGGGAUAGCGGAAUUCCUAGUGGAGCGGUAAAAUGCGCAGAUAUUAGGAAGAACACCGGUGGCGAAGGCGGCUAUCUGGACAGUAACUGACGCUGAGGCGCGAAAGCGUGGGGAUCGAACAGGAUUAGAUACCCUGGUAGUCCACGCCGUAAACGAUGGGCGCUCGUCGUCGGCGGCAGACAGUCGGCGGCCAAGCGAAGGCGAUAAGCGCCCCACCUGGGGAGUACGGUCGCAAGGCUGAAACUCAAAUGAAUUGACGGGG
rnacentral:rRNA from 1 species